ACUACGUGGCGCUACUGCUGGCCCGGCGCGGCCAGGCUGCUGGGGGCGUCCCCCUGUGGCCCGCCCAGGGACAAGUGACUUGAUGAUAGGUUCUGCCAAGCCCCUCACAUGAUUCUGUGAAACUCAUGGGAGCGAGGAACGACUGCUGCGCGGAGGUGACAGUGUCUCCAGGGUGCUGUUAUUGCAAGGGCACCGGCCCUCCGGCCCAAAGCAGGGCAGGGACAUGAGGGAGAACGCGCCCUGUCCCUCCCACCUCCUCCGGACUCGGCCCCUGGAGGGGCUGACGCUGGAAGACGUGACAUCGUCGCUUCUGCUGUUCAUGGCUUUUGACUCAUGUUCAGGUUUGAAAUCUUUUACCCAGUUUAAGAACGGGAUGAACUCUCCUCGUUUAAAGGAGAGAAUGAAGAACCCUGAACGCAAAUCUCGAUCCUUGUCCCCAUUAAUCUGAGGCGGCAGGAAGAAUGUGGAGGCAAACCUGGCUCUUCUCAGUACUGUUCCAGCCACCCACCGCUCUGCCAUUCAGGAACUCUGCGCGGGUGCCAGGUGCCACGCGCGGUGCUGCCUCCGCACUCCCCGCAAGCUGUGCGAACUGUAGGAAGGAGAGGCUGCUGGGGUGGAGGGCAGCAGGGAGAGACCCAUGUUCGGGGUCAGACGAGAGCAGCUUCAUGAAGUUCUGGGGGAGGCGAAGCAUUAUGACCAGAUGGAAAUGAAAGGAAACGGGAGACUCUGUAUUAAUAAACUAGCAGCUUUAUUGCCCUUUAGGGGCCAUGUCUUCA